AGAGUUUGAUCAUGGCUCAGGAUGAACGCUGGCGGCGUGCCUAAUACAUGCAAGUCGAACGCGAGCACUUGUGCUCGAGUGGCGAACGGGUGAGUAAUACAUAAGUAACCUGCCCUAGACAGGGGGAUAACUAUUGGAAACGAUAGCUAAGACCGCAUAGGUACGGACACUGCAUGGUGACCGUAUUAAAAGUGCCUCAAAGCACUGGUAGAGGAUGGACUUAUGGCGCAUUAGCUGGUUGGCGGGGUAACGGCCCACCAAGGCGACGAUGCGUAGCCGACCUGAGAGGGUGACCGGCCACACUGGGACUGAGACACGGCCCAGACUCCUACGGGAGGCAGCAGUAGGGAAUUUUCGGCAAUGGGGGAAACCCUGACCGAGCAACGCCGCGUGAAGGAAGAAGGUUUUCGGAUUGUAAACUUCUGUUAUUUUGGAAGAAGGCGGCUACAGGAAAUGGUAGCCGAAAGAAAGGGCGUUAUUAGAAAGCCACGGCUAACUACGUGCCAGCAGCCGCGGUAAUACGUAGGUGGCAAGCGUUAUCCGGAAUUAUUGGGCGUAAAGAGGGAGCAGGCGGCAGCAAGGGUCUGUGGUGAAAGCCUGAAGCUUAACUUCAGUAAGCCAUAGAAACCAGGCAGCUAGAGUGCAGGAGAGGAUCGUGGAAUUCCAUGUGUAGCGGUGAAAUGCGUAGAUAUAUGGAGGAACACCAGUGGCGAAGGCGACGAUCUGGCCUGCAACUGACGCUCAGUCCCGAAAGCGUGGGGAGCAAAUAGGAUUAGAUA
rnacentral:rRNA from 1 species